UAAUCUCAAUUUUUGCCGCCAACAUACAGAACAAAGAGGUUUGGGCGCCAAACCUCUUAGACCUUUGUUAAUCCAGACGAAAAUACACAAACACGCAAAUCUCACCAUCACCCACAUCAAUCAGGAACAAGAUCCUUGGCAGAAGCACGUCAAACAAAUUCAAUAUCAGGCAAAAGAAGGAAAUUCACAAGGCUAAGGUGCAUCAAUCGGGCAGAAGCAAGGCCACCUAGGGGCUGAAGGAAAGGGGCAUCUUGUUCCCCAUGGCUUCUUCAAGCAUCGAUCCUCAAAUCCAUGAGGACGGUGAUGAAUCUCAGUGACCAAAAGUAUAGUCUUCAUGAUCUCUUUUCGUUGUUCUUUUCCUUGUAGAAUCUACUGAUUAAUUUUCCCUGCUGAUAAAGAUCAAAAAUGCCUUCAUGAUUGUAGAUUGUUAAUUCUUCCUGAUGAAAACAAAAUUGAAAAUGUCGAUCAUGAUCAUAAAACAUCUGUGUUUGCUUCGUAUAGGAUGCUACAGCUUAUGGAUCGGUUAUAAUUAUACUAGCCUUAUGCCUGGUACAUGAAGAAACUGCACAUGUCAAAAUAGAUGCUUAAUACUCAGUUAAUACUCUAGUCAGCAUAUUCUAAUAAAACAGCAGCCCGUGAAUAUUAGUCUACAUUGUUUGAUAAUACUGUUAUGACAUGGGUAAUCUUUUUUUAAUCCUUGUUUCAUAAAUCCAGUCAAAUUACGCAUGGUAAGCACAAUACAACAUAUGUGAAAAUGUGCAUUAACAAAAUUGAAUACUAAUUCAUACAGGAUGUGCAAGAAAAUGUUGCAACAAAUUGUACUGACAACAGGUUACCAAAGAUUGACAUGACAUUUUUAUCGGAAGAGGAGGCCUACUCAUUUUAUAACAAAUAUGCAAAAGCUACUGGUUUUAGCAUCCGAAGAGGGAGUCACCAUAAAGUGAAGAAUACUACUGUAAUACAACAACGGACAUUUACGUGCUCCCGUCAAGGUAUGGGUUGCUUGUAUUUUGUUUUGGUUAUACUACUAUUACUUUUGGUUUCACUAAGAUAAUUACUUUAAUUGACAGGAUUCCGUGCUGAAGAUAGCAGAGAGGAUUCUUUCAGUUACAGUAGGCCCGAAACACGAUGUGGUUGUCAAGCCCAUAUGAAGAUAAGUCUCAAAAAUGGAUUAUAUUAUGUGUACGAAUUUGAGGCAGCACAUAACCAUCCUCUUGCUACUGGAGACAUGGCCCUAUACUUAAGAUCCCAAAGGAAAGUCACAGAAGAACAAAUAGCAAACACUGAAGUCGCAAAGUCUGUGGGCAUUUCAAAUAAAGCAACUAUAGAUCUUAUGGCCAAAGAAGCAUGUGGACUUCCAAAUCUUGGGUUUGCACCCGAAGAUAUGAAAAAUCGUUUGUACUCUAAGAGAACACUGCAAGCAAAGAAAGGAGACACAUGGGGGGUGUUAGAAUACAUGGAGAAGAAGGUAAAAGAAGAUGCCAAUUUUUUCUAUUCAAUUCAAGUUGAUGAGGAUGAUCUGAUAACUAAUAUUUUCUGAGCUGAUUCGAAAAUUAUAUCAGACUAUGCAAUGUUUGGUGAUGUUAUAUGCUUUGACACCACAUAUAGGAAACUAGAUGAUGGGCGUCCCUUUGGUUUGAUUGUUGGGGUGAAUAAUCACAAGAAAACCAUGGUCUUUGGUGCUACACUUCUCUAUGAUGAAACUGCUGAAAGUUUUGGUUGGCUUUUUAGAACAUUUCUAACAGCUAUGUCUGGGAAACAUCCAAGGACUAUUCUGACCGAUGAAGAUGCAGCAAUGGCCAAGGCAACCAGUAAAGUCCUUCCUCAGUCUCACCAUAGACUUUGUGUGUGGCAUAUGAAUCAAAAUGCUUGCAAGCACCUUGCUGGGGUUGUUGAAGAAUAUAAGAAGUUCAAUGCCGAUUUCCAGCAUUAUAUCUAUGAUAUUGAGGAAGAAGACGACUUUAUAAAUGAAUGGAAUAGAAUGCUAGACAGGUAUGGACUCCGUGACAAUAUGUGGCUGCAAAGGCUGUUUGAAAAAAGGGAGCAAUGGGCACUAGUGUAUGGCAAAAAUACAUUCUCAGCCCACAUGAGCACUACCCAAAGAAGUGAAAGCAUGAAUAAUGAACUAAAGCGGUACAUUAGUAUUAAAUAUGACAUGCUUACUUUUUUUGAGCAUUUUGGGCGUCUGGUUGCGGAUAAAAGAUUUGUAGAGGUGAAGUGUGACUUCAAGGCGUCACAAACUACUCCCAAGCUGAAGGCAGAAGGUAGCUAUGUGUUAAGGCAAGCCGCAACUACAUAUACUCCCGCAAUAUUCAAGAUGUUUCAGGAGCAAGUAAUUCGGACCCUGAACUAUGACACAUUUCUUUGUGAUUCAAGUGAUAAAGAGAAGAAGGUUUACACAGUAAAAUUUCAUGGAACGCAGCGCGAGCAUGUUGUCAGUUUUUAUCCAAACGAAGAAAAGGUCAAUUGCAGUUGCAAGAAGUUUGAAUUUGCUGGAAUCCUCUGCUCUCAUUGCUUAAAGAUACUUGAUAUUAAUAAUAUCAAGCAUAUCCCUGAACACUAUAUACUGAAAAGAUGGACAAUUGAUGCGAAAGUGCUAGAGAUAACAAGCAAUCGCAAUCUGCAUGAAGAUCUAAAAGCAAGAAUGUCGAACUUUUACAAGGACUUGUGCAGAAUGUUUAUCCAUAUAGCUGCUCGCGCCGCAGAGUCCGAUGAAACAUAUGAUAUGGCUGCUAAAUGUGCAGAGCAGCUAGCACGAGAUGUGGAGCAAAGCUUGAAAAUUAGAGUUGAUCCAGACCCAAAUCCAGAUUUGGGUGACUCCUCUGUUUCGCAAGGUAUAUAGUUAUAUACUAUACUACUAGUUGCAUAGAGUAUAUUCAAAGACUUACAUUUAACUAUAUGGUUGCAGGUCCGAACAUCGACUCUACUAGAGUUUCAAAGCAUAACGAGGGGCUUCACAUGCCAAGAGGUAUAAAGGUCAAGGAGAAGACUGUACGAGGAUCAGUGAGACCCGUUGGUGGCUUGGAGAAAGCAAAAACAACGAAGAAAAAGAAGAUAGAUGAUUCUUUACGACUACAACCUGAAAUGCCUUUCACAAAUCAAAUGCCUACGUAUAACCCAAUCUUAAUGGUAUAAGAAGUCAAAGCUUUUUGACUUUAUCUCCUUUUUAAACUUGAACCACACUAAGUUUUGUUGUUAAUCUUCAUAGGGUCAAUUCAGAGAAAAUAUUGUACCAGGAUCAGCAAGACCCAUUGGUGGCUUGGAGAAAGCAAAAACAAAGAAGAAAAAGAAGACAGUCAAUUCUUUACAAGAACGACCUGAAAUGCCUUUGACAAACCAAAUGCCUGGGUAUUUACCACAGUACAAUCCAACCCAAAUGGUAUAAGAAGUUUAAUUAUUAAACUAUUUCCCAUUUUCAAUCACCUGUGACCUAAGCUUUGCUAUUUAUCUGCGUAGGUUCAACUGGGAGCUCUGCCAAGUCAUGCUUACCCCUAUUUAGCACAUUACAACUCAAGUCUGCAACAAUCCAUUGGUCUGUCGACCCCUACGAUGAUGCCAGGACAAAAUAUAUUAUUCUUCCAACAACAGACUCCUACCAGUGGUACUUCUACCCCUAUGAUAAUGGCAGGACAGAAUCUACCAUUCUUCCAACAACAGAAUCCUACCAUUGGUACCUGUAGCCCUACGAUGAUGCCAGGACAGAAUCUAUCAUUCUUUCAAUAGCAGACUCCUACCAGUGGUACUUCUACCCCUAUGAUGAUGCCCGGACAGAAUCUAUCAUUUCUCCAGCAACAAAAUCCUACCGUGGUACCUCUACCCCGGUGAUGAUCCCAGGACAAAAUCUACCAUUCUCCCAACAACAAAAGCCAGCUUAAUCAAUGUUAUAGAUUUUUAUUUCAUGUACUUCUGUGCAAUUCUAUUAGAACCUAUGAGUAUACGACCAUGGAUUGAAGGAGACUAUCUAUAUCAAUCAGCAAUUAACUGAAUAAGCAAUUUGUGACUGUGAUAAAUAUAAAAAUAGUCUUAUUUGUCUUGUAUUGAAUAGGCUUGGUUAGCAUCAGGUACAAACUGUACUAUUACCAACAUCAUAGAUUAGUUUGUCUAACCUGACAAACAGACCAUUAGUCGAUCACUAUGGUAAUGGAGCGCCACUGUCACCUGGAUGAGGAUGAG
rnacentral:lncRNA from 1 species